AGAAAAAGAGGAAGGGGACAGCAAAACCAACCACAAGUAUCGCAGUACUGAGCCUUAAGAGCGAGCAGAGAUGAAGUGAGGUUGCGAGGGAUGGAGGUCAUGGCUUUGGGCAAGUUGAAGCUGGGGUCUGCCACCUGGUCUGGAACAAUGUAGGUGCAGUUGAGAGCGAAGUCCACUUCCUUCCACCCACUCAUGUCUCCAGGACUGGCAAACUACCUGGGUCUCUCCAGCCAAUUAGAGCCCAUCUGCACAGCACACACCAUGCAGGCCAGGCUGAAGCCAGCCUCUGUAGGGGACCAGCCAGCCUAGUCAGGCUGCUGAAGGGCUCAGUGGUGGCUAAGGCUGUCUGGUCUGGGCCCAAAAUAUCUGCUUCCAUAACCGCCCAUCUGCCCGUGGCUUGGCCUGGUACACUUUCA
ensembl:lncRNA